AACGUAGGUUCCGAGCGUUAUCCGGAUUUACUGGGCGUAAAGCGCGUUCAGGCGGUUUGGCAAGUCGGGCAUGAAAUCUCUCGGCUCAACCGGGAGAGGUUGUCCGAUACUGCUGGACUUGAGGGCAGUAGAGGGUGGUGGAAUUCCGGGUGUAGUGGUGAAAUGCGUAGAUAUCCGGAGGAACACCAGUGGCGAAAGCGGCCACCUGGACUGCACCUGACGCUGAAACGCGAAAGCUAGGGGAGCGAACGGG
rnacentral:rRNA from 1 species